AUUAUCUUGGCAGAAUAGUGCAAUGAAUUUAGAAUUCAAGUAUGUAAUAAUUUACAGAUAAUAC
rnacentral:tRNA from 1 species